UUGAAACAGGGACCAAGGAGUCUAACAUGUGCGCGAGUCGUCGGGUGGUCCACCGCGACGAAACUCGAAAGGCGCAAUGAAAGUGAAGGUCGCGCCANNGCGGUGGCCGGCCGAGGCGGGAUCCGUUUCCGGGCACAUAUCCGGGGCUUCGCGGCCCUGGAGAAAGCCCUGCGGCGCACCGCCGGCCCGUCUCGACCGCAUCGCCNGUGAGGCGGAGCCAGAGCGUACACGUUGGGACCCGAAAGAUGGUGAACUAUGCUCGGNCAGGACGAAACCAGAGGAAACUCUGGUGGAGGUCCGUAGCGAUUCUGACGUNCAAAUCGAUCGUCGGACCUGAGUAUAGGGGCGAAAGACUAAUCGAACC
rnacentral:rRNA from 1 species